AAACUGAUCUCCCCGUGAAGAAGCGGGGAUAUACAUAUAAGACGAGAAGACCCCAUGGAGCUUUAAACCUGACAGCACCCGCUCAUUCUAUACCCCAUUAUUUGCCCGACCCCUGUCUGCUCAGUUUUAGGUUGGGGUGACCACGGAGUAUAAAAUAACCUCCAUGAAGAAGGGGAUAUUUCCCUUAUUAGAGAACCACACUUCCAAGAACUAAUAAAUUAAUUUUCAAUGACCCGAUACCAGAUAAUCGAUCAACGAACCAAGUUACCCUGGGGAUAACAGCGCAAUCCACCCUGAAAGCCCUUAUUAACAGGUGGGUUUACGACCUCGAUGUUGGAUCAGGGUAUCCCAGUGGUGCAGCAGCUACUGAGGGUUCGUUUGUUCAACGAUUAAAACCCU
rnacentral:rRNA from 1 species